CCACAGUGGUGUUGACGGGUAACGGGGAAUUAGGGUUCGAUUCCGGAGAGGGAGCCUGAGAGACGGCUACCACUUCUAAGGAAGGCAGCAGGCGCGCAAAUUACCCACUGGCCGAAGGCCGAGGUAGUGACGAAAAAUAACGAUACCGGACUCAUCCGAGGCCCGGUAAUCGGAAUGAGUACACUUUAAAUCCUUUAACGAGGAACCAUUGGAGGGCAAGUCUGGUGCCAGCAGCCGCGGUAAUUCCAGCUCCAAUAGCGUAUAUUAAAGUUGUUGCGGUUAAAAAGCUCGUAGUUGGAUCUCAGCAGGCAGGGGGCGGUGCGUUUUUUGACGCGACUGCCUGUUUUGCCUGCGACUUUUCUCGGUGGAGUCGACCGGGUGCUCUUUAUUGAGUGUCCGUUUUGUCGGGCCACCAGGUUUACUUUGAAAAAAUUAGAGUGCUCCAAGCAGGCCGCAUACGCCUGAAUACUCGUGCAUGGAAUAAUGGAAUAGGACGUCGUUCCUAUUUUGUUGGUUUUCGGGAAUCGACGUAAUGAUUAAUAGGGACAGCCGGGGGCAUUAGUAUUCAGACGACAGAGGUGAAAUUCUUGGACCGUCUGAAGACUGACGACUGCGAAAGCAUUUGCCAAGAGUGUUUUCAUUAAUCAAGAACGAAAGUUAGAGGUUCGAAGGCGAUCAGAUACCGCCCUAGUUCUAACCAUAAACGAUGCCAGCUAGCGAUCCGUGGGCGUUUUCCUUGUAGGCCCCACGGGCAGCUUCCGGGAAACCAAAGCGUUUGGGUUCCGGGGGAAGUAU
rnacentral:rRNA from 1 species